AGGCGACCAGAGUUUUGUUGGA
rnacentral:piRNA from 1 species